AGCCUUCUGUAUCCGUGCUGAGAUUUCGUCACACACCAGACCACAAGGGCUGAUGAGACUUCCAAGAUA
rnacentral:pre_miRNA from 1 species